rnacentral:misc_RNA from 1 species
GACGAACCGUGCGAACGUUGUUCGGAAUCACUGGGCUUAAAGGGCGCGUAGGCGGGCCACCAAGUCCGCGGUGAAAUCCCCCGGCUCAACCGGGGAAGUGCCGCGGAUACUGGGGGCCUCGAGGGAGGUAGGGGCGUGCGGAACACUGGGUGGAGCGGUGAAAUGCGUUGAUAUCCAGUGGAACUCCGGUGGCGAAGGCGGCGCGCUGGACCUCAUCUGACGCUGAGGCGCGAAAGCCAGGGGAGCGAACGGG